GCUCUCCCGCCCCUGCAGCCGAGGGAGAAGCCCUGGCCGCAAAGGAUGCUGGGAGCUCGGCCAAUGGUAUAGCCGCAAAGGCUGCUGGGAAUGCGGCCACCCCAGAGACUGCAAAGGACACUGGGACGUUGGCUGUCCUGGAGGCCCCAGAGGAUGCUGGGAGCUCGGUCACCUUAGGGGCUGCAAAGGACUCUGGGAGCAAGACCAACAAUGUGGCUGCAAAGGACACUGGGAGCUCGGCCAAAUCAGGGGGUGCAAAGGAUGCUGGGAUAUUGGCUGUCCCAGAGGCUGCAAAGGACUCUGGGAGUUCGGUCAACCUAGAGGCUGCAAAGCAUGCUGGGAGUUUGGCUGUCCAAGAGGAUGCAAAGGAUGCUGGGAGCUCGGCCAAUGGCAUCGCUGCAAAGGAUGCUGGGAGCUCGGCCAACACAGAGGCUGCAAAGGAUGCUGGGAGCUCGGCCAAUGGCAUCGCUGCAAAGGCCGCUGGGAGCUCGGCCAACUUGGAGGCUGCAAAGAAUGCUGGGAGCCUGGCCAAUGGCAUCUCUGCAAAGGAUGCUGGGAACUCGGCCAACGCGGAGGCUGCAAAGGAUGCUGGGAGCUCGGCCAAUGGCAUCG
rnacentral:lncRNA from 1 species